AUUGAACGCUGGCGGCAUGCCUUACACAUGCAAGUCGAACGGUAACAGGUCUUUCGGGAUGCUGACGAGUGGCGAACGGGUGAGUAAUACAUCGGAACGUGCCUAGUAGUGGGGGAUAACUACUCGAAAGAGUGGCUAAUACCGCAUGAGAUCUAUGGAUGAAAGCAGGGGACCCUCGGGCCUUGUGCUACUAGAGCGGCCGAUGGCAGAUUAGGUAGUUGGCGGGAUAAAAGCUUACCAAGCCUGCGAUCUGUAGCUGGUCUGAGAGGACGAUCAACCACACUGGGACGGAGACACGGCCCAGACGCCUACGGGAGGCAGCAGUGGGGAAUUUUGGACAAUGGGCGCAAGCCUGAUACAGCAAUGCCGCGUGCAGGAUGAAGGCCUUCGGGUUGUAAACUGCUUUUGUACGGAACGAAAAGUCUUGGGUUAAUACCCUGGGAUCAUGACGGUACCGUAAGAAUAAGCACCGGCUAACUACGUGCCAGCAGCCGCAGUAAUAC
rnacentral:rRNA from 1 species